rnacentral:rRNA from 1 species
AACGAACGCUGGCGGCAGGCCUAACACAUGCAAGUCGAGCGGACCCUUCGGGGUUAGCGGCGGACGGGUGUGUAACGCGUGGGAAUAUGCCCUUCUCUACGGAAUAGUUCUGGGAAACGGGGGGUAAUACCGUAUACGCCCUUUGGGGGAAAGAUUUAUCGGGGUAGGAGUAGCCCGCGUUGGAUUCGGUAGUUGGGAGGGUAAUGGCCUACCAAGCCGACGAUCCAUAGCUGGUUAGAGAGGAUGAUCAGCCACACUGGGACUGAGACACGGCCCAGACUCCUACGGGAGGCAGCAGUGGGGAAUCUUAGACAAUGGGGGCAACCCUGAUCGAGCCAUGCCGCGUGAGUGAUGAAGGCCGUAGGGUUGUAAAGCUCUUUCAGCUGGGAAGAUAAUGACGGUACCAGCAGAAGAAGCCCCGGCUAACUCCGUG